rnacentral:rRNA from 1 species
GAUGAACGCUGGCUACAGGCUUAACACAUGCAAGUCGAGGGGAAACGGCAUUGAGUGCUUGCACUGAAUGGACGUCGACCGGCGCACGGGUGAGUAACGCGUAUCCAACCUUCCCGUUACUGCGGGAUAACCUGCCGAAAGGCAGACUAAUACCGCAUGUUCUUCGAUGACGGCAUCAGAUUCGAAGCAAAGAUCCGUCGGUAACGGAGGGGGAUGCGUCUGAUUAGCUAGUUGGCGGGGCGACGGCCCACCAAGGCGACGAUCAGUAGGGGUUCUGAGAGGAAGGUCCCCCACAUUGGAACUGAGACACGGUCCAAACGCCUACGGGAGGCAGCAGUGAGGAAUAUUGGGCAAUGGGCGGAAGCCUGAACCAGCCAAGUAGCGUGCAGGAGGACGGCCCUACGGGUUGUAAACUGCUUUUAUGCGGGGAUAAAGUGAGGGACGCGUCCCUUUUUGCAGGUACCGCAUGAAUAAGGACCGGCUAAUUCCGUG